rnacentral:lncRNA from 10 species
AUUUUUGAAAUAGUAUGCAAGUCAUAAGCACAGUUUCAAUAAAACACGUAUUCUGGAGGUGCGUGGAACUUUGUAUUAUUUGUAGUUGAGAAAGGCAAACUUUGCUGACAAACCAGUACCUAUCACAAACGAACACAAAAAGUAGCUGUUACUGUGCAGGCUGUCUUUAACUUUCAUUUCAUAAAGGGUACAUUAUUGUUAAACUCUACUACAUGGUUUGGGGAGAAAUCCAGUGGUUUUAUUUAAAUGAACACUCUCACACUGCCUUUUGAUCAACUUUCAAAGUAUUUUGCAGAUGCAUUUUGAGCAUGACCAUUUUUUUCCCCAAGUAAAAACAAUUGUGCGUGGCCUCCAUAUAACUCAGAAAGCAUGCUCUUACUACCUAUGCAAGCAAACAAUAAAACAUAUAGACAUGAAAUGUUAAGUCUUAAAAAAAAAAGGCAACAAUUAUGGAGCUCUAUUUUUAAAUUUGUGAUUUUCAAAAUAUGGCUUACUCAUCAUUGUGUAGAAGAGCAUGAAUGCGAUUUCUUGUUUUGCUCUGCAUAUAUUUCUCUGCUGUUUUUCUGAUCAUUGGCGAGAUUGUAAAGUAUUUUGCAAGCAGAAGUGGAAUUGGAUAUGUUGAACACACAUCAUUGGUGUACAUACUGUAUUUAGCCUGAAGACUUUCCUAAAGUGUUUUGUUCUAAAAAUAACCUGCCAUUUUCUAUAGAUUUUAAUUUUUUAUAUCUUCAAGGGUUCUAUUUUGGUCACAAGGAAAGAAUGUGGCUUCUAAUAGUGCUAAGAAUUAAAAGAUGCUUUUAUAGAGACUUAGAGCUAUUUUGAAAAGCUUUGGGGCUUCCCAGCCACUGAUCACAAUUAGACUAAGCCCAUGGAAUUUCUGGGAGUGUUGUGCAGUGGAUUCGGUUCUAGAUCCAUCUUACAUUUGUUUAGUGUUUCCCAAUUUUUGGGAGAAGGGGUGCACAGCAAAUUUGAGAGACUUUUUUGAAUCUCACACAUGUAUUUUCCUCAAGAUUCUUUUAAGCCUCUUCUGAAUGACUUGUCUGAGAUAGUGAAGACCCACAUUAACUAGAAUCAGCUGGGGAACUUUAAAAAAUACAGUGCCUGGGUCCCAGUCCCUAGCUUUUGAUCUAAUUCAUGUAGGGGUGGGAUCCAGGAAUUACCAUGUAUUUUAAAAGCUUCUGGGUGUUUCUAAUUUGCAGACAGAUUGAGAACCACUAUGAUACGUCAUCCCUUUACUGAGAAUUAUGGCGAGAAUCACUGCCAUUUGAAUUACUCAGGAGUGACUGAUUCCUCAGUUGUGUAGGAGAAGCAGAAAAAAUAAGAAUAAAAAGAAUUGAGAGAUACUGAUAUCAAACUCCCAUUUGAAAUACAAGGGCCCUUCUGAUUCAAGGCCCAGUUGGGGAGCUUGGACCAUGUUGUGAAUGGCCUAGCACUCGCCAGUCUGGUGGAAAUUGGUGGUCUUAGUUGCUGGAGCAGGCUGAGUGUCCCCGCGGGGUUUGCAUCUGUCCCCAGAACCUUUUCCCCAGGCCCGUGGGGGAAUAGGGAAGUCACUCUGAGCUAGAAAUUGUCGAAGAAGAAAAGAAACAACCUUCCUAGCCUUGGAAAGCCUGUCCCUGCUUUUGAUAGAAUUAUUGCCUUUUUGUAGGAAUUACAGUAGCAAACCCCAGGCUGCCGCUGAAUUUCCUACUUUUGCUCAUUCUCUAGGAUAGUUCUUAUCCAGAAUGUGGUUUCAGGAAUUCUUUUUUUUAGUUUGAAAAUGAAUGUGAAACAUUUUCUUUGGUGUCUUUUU